rnacentral:tRNA from 1 species
GGACCCGUAGCUCAGGUGGUUAGAGCGCUGCUCUGAUAAGGCAGAGGCCCGGAGUUCAAAUCUCCGCGGGUCCACCA